rnacentral:rRNA from 1 species
GUGAGGAAUAUUGCGCAAUGGAGGCAACUCUGACGCAGCCAUGCCGCGUGCAGGAAGAAGGCGCUACGCGUUGUAAACUGCUUUUAACCGGGAAGAAACCCCAGGACGUGUCCUGGGUUGACGGUACCGGAGGAAUAAGCACCGGCUAACUUCGUGCCAGCAGCCGCGGUAAUACGAAGGGUGCAAGCGUUAUCCGGAUUCAUUGGGUUUAAAGGGUGCGUAGGCGGAACGUUAAGUCAGUGGUGAAAUCCUGCAGCUUAACUGUAGACUUGCCAUUGAUACUGGCGCUCUUGAGUGCGCUUGAAGUGGGCGGAAUGUGACGUGUAGCGGUGAAAUGCUUAGAUAUGGCACAGAACACCAAUUGCGAAGGCAGCUCACUAAGGCGAUACUGACGCUGAGGCACGAAAGCGUGGGGAUCGAACAGGAUUAGAAACCCCGGUAGUCC